UAUAAGCUAUUAAGGGCUAAUGGUGGAUGCCUUGACUGUAAGAGGCGAUGAAGGACGUAUUAGGCUGCGAUAAGCCUCGGGGAGCUGCCAAAGAGCUUUGAUCCGAGGAUUUCCGAAUGGGGCAACCCAACAUAUAGAGAUAUAUGUUACCCUACGGGGAGCGAACCUGGUGAAGUGAAACAUCUCAGUAGCCAGAGGAAGAGAAAUCAAAUGAGAUUCCCAUAGUAGCGGCGAGCGAACUGGGAUUAGGACAAACCCAAUGCUUGCAUUGGGGGUUGUAGGACUAUAAUGUGUAAUUAAAGAGAAUAGAUGAAUUAGUUGGAAAACUAGAGCAUAGAAGGUGAUACUCCUGUAAUUAAAAUUCUCAAUAAUACUAAUAGUAUCCUGAGUAGGUCGGAACACGUGAUAUUUUGACUGAAGCUGGGGGGACCACCCUCCAAUCCUAAAUACUACUUACAGAUCGAUAGUGAACAAGUACCGUGAGGGAAAGGUGAAAAGUACUGCAGCGAGCAGAGUGAAAUAGAACCUGAAACCAUUAGCUUACAAUCAUUCAGAGCCCUAUGAUUUAUCAGGGUGAUGGACUGCCUUUUGCAUAAUGAGCCUGCGAGUUGUGGUGUCUGGCAAGGUUAAGCCAAGUGCGAAGCCGUAGCGAAAGCGAGUCUUAAUAGGGCGAAAUAGUCAGAUGCUUGCAGACCCGAAACGAAGUGAUCUAUCCAUGAGCAGGUUGAAGCUGGUGUAAGAGCCAGUGGAGGACCGAACCCGCUGACGUUGAAAAGUCUUGGGAUGACUUGUGGAUAGGGGUGAAAGGCCAAUCAAACUUCGUGAUAGCUGGUUCUCUCCGAAAUAUAUUUAGGUAUAGCCUUGUGUUGUAGCAUAUAGGGGUAGAGCACUGAAUGGGCUAGGGCUGCUUACCGCGGUACCAAACCCUAUCAAACUAUGAAUACUAUAUGUGGAAUCACAGGAGUCAGGCGGUGGGUGAUAAAAUCCGUCGUCAAGAGGGGAACAACCCAGACUAACAGCUAAGGUCCCUAAGUUACAUCUAAGUGGAAAACGAUGUGGAGUUACUGUGACAACCAGGAGGUUGGCUUAGAAGCAGACCAUCCUUUAAAGAAAGCGUAACAGCUCACUGGUCUAGUGAUUCUGCGCGGAAAAUAUAACGGGGCUAAGAUGUACACCGAAGCUUUAGAUUCAAUUUUUAAUUGAGUGGUAGGAGAGCGUUCUAUUCAGCGUUGAAGGUAUACCGGUAAGGAGUGCUGGAGCGGAUAGAAGUGAGCAUGCAGGCAUGAGUAGCGAUAAUUAAGGUGAGAAUCCUUAACGCCGAAAACCCAAGGUUUCCUACGCGAUGCUCGUCAUCGUAGGGUUAGUCGGGUCCUAAGUCGAGACUGAAAAGUGUAGACGAUGGCAAAUUGGUUAAUAUUCCAAUACCAACAUAUAAGCGCGAUGUGGGGACGCAUAGAGUUAGUCGAGCUCACUGAUGGAAUAGUGGGUCGAAGGAUGUAGGUUGUUAAGUAGGCAAAUCCGCUUAACGUUAGACCGAGAUCUUACAGGCUCUUGACACUCUUCGGAGGAGAUGGAGAAUCGAUGAUACUGUCGUGCCAAGAAAAGCCACUAAGUUUAUUAUAUGUUGCCCGUACCGUAAACCGACACAGGUGGGUGGGAUGAGUAUUCUAAGGCGCGUGGAAGAACCCUCUUUAAGGAACUCUGCAAAAUAGCACCGUAUCUUCGGUAUAAGGUGUGCCUACUUUGGUAUAUGGACUUGCUCCAAAAAGCUAGAGAGGUUGCAACAAAGAGUCCCUCCCGACUGUUUACCAAAAACACAGCACUUUGCUAACACGUAAGUGGAUGUAUAAGGUGUGACGCCUGCCCGGUGCUCGAAGGUUAAUUGAUGAUGUCAGCGCAAGCGAAGCAUUUGAUCGAAGCCCGAGUAAACGGCGGCCGUAACUAUAACGGUCCUAAGGUAGCGAAAUUCCUUGUCAGUUAAAUACUGACCUGCAUGAAUGGCGUAACGAGAUGGGAGCUGUCUCAAAGAGGGAUCCAGUGAAAUUGUAGUGGAGGUGAAAAUUCCUCCUACCCGCGGAAAGACGGAAAGACCCCGUGCACCUUUACUACAGCUUGACACUGUAGCUUGGAUAUUCAUGUGCAGGAUAGGUGGGAGGCUAUGAUGACUAGACGCAAGUAGAGUCGGAGCCAUCCUUGAGAUACCACCCUUGAAUAUUUGAGUUACUAACUGCGAUGAGUUAUCCUCAUUCAGGACAAUGUCUGGUGGGUAGUUUGACUGGGGCGGUCGCCUCCUAAAUAGUAACGGAGGCUUACAAAGGUUAGUUCAAAGCGGAUGGAAAUCGCUUGUUGAGUAUAAUGGCAUAAACUAGCUUGACUGUGAGACCUACAAGUCGAACAGAGACGAAAGUCGGUCAUAGUGAUCCGGUGGUUCUGCGUGGAAGGGCCAUCGCUCAAAGGAUAAAAGGUACGCCGGGGAUAACAGGCUGAUCUCCCCCAAGAGCUCACAUCGACGGGGAGGUUUGGCACCUCGAUGUCGGCUCAUCGCAUCCUGGGGCUGUAGUCGGUCCCAAGGGUAUGGCUGUUCGCCAUUUAAAGCGGUACGCGAGCUGGGUUCAGAACGUCGUGAGACAGUUCGGUCCCUAUCUUCCGUGGGCGUAGGAAAGUUGAAGAGAUUUGUCCCUAGUACGAGAGGACCGGGAUGAACCAACCACUGGUGUACCAAUUGUUCUGCCAAGAGCAUCGUUGGGUAGCCACGUUGGGAUGUGAUAAGAGCUGAAAGCAUCUAAGCUCGAAGCCAACUCUAAGAUGAACUUUCCCUGAAGUUCCCAGCAAGACUAGCUGGUUGAUAGGCUGGAUGUGUAAUGGGUGUAAGCCCUUUAGCUGACCAGUACUAAUAGAACGUUUGGCUUAUUUUUAACAAUUUUCUUUGGUUUACU
rnacentral:rRNA from 1 species